CAUGAAGCCGGAAUUGCUAGUAAUGGCAGGUCAGCAUACUGCCGUGAAUACGUUCCCGGGCCUUGUACACACCGCCCGUCACACCAUGAGAGUUGGGAAUACCCGAAGCCUGUGAGCUAACGUAAGAGGCAGCAGUCGAAGGUAGAAUCAAUGAUUGGGGUGAAGUCGUAACAAGGUACC
rnacentral:rRNA from 1 species